AGGGGCUGUAACGGGAAAAGUUUGCCUUUAAAAUGGUGUGCAAGUGUUGCAAAGCUUGCUGGUCCUUAUGUGGUGAUUUAUAGCUUUGCAGAUGUACAAUAAGCUAAUUCCAGUGACAGAAGUAGCAAAACCUAUGUUUCUCUUUUUUUUUUUUUCUCUUUAUGCUAAACUUCAGUCCUCUUAUGUCAAUGGGAUAUUUCUUUUCUGUGAUCCAAGGUCUGGAUCAGCA
rnacentral:lncRNA from 12 species